AGAGUACCGCGGGACACGAGGAAUCCCGUGGGAAGCCGGGGGGACCACCCUCCAAGCCUAAACACUACCCAGUGACCGAUAGCGCAUAGUACUGUGAAGGAAAGGUGAAAAGGACCCCGGAAGGGGAGUGAAAUAGAACCUGAAACCCUGUGCUUACAAGCACCGAGAGCCCGUCAACGGGUAAUCGGGUACUUUUUGUAGAACGGUCCGGCGAGUAUAUUUAACUGGCAAGGUUAAGGGCCUCAGGUCUGAAGCCGAAGCGAGAGCGAGUCUGAAUAGGGCGUAUAGUCAGUUGGAUAUGACCCGAAACCGGGUGACCUAUCCAUGAUCAGGUUGAAGUGGGCGUAAAAGCCCAUGGAGGACCGAACCGACCUCCGUUGAAAUGGCGGCGGAUGAAUUGUGGAUAGCGGAGAAAUUCCAAUCGAACCCGGAUAUAGCUGGUUCUCCCCGAAAUAGCUUUAGGGCUAGCGUUGUAUUAGAUUACCGGAGGUAAAGCACUGAAUAGGCUAGGGGCCGAGAGGCUACCGACCCUUAUCAAACUCUGAAUGCCGGAUAAUUGAUGUACAGCAGUCAGACAGUGUGAGAUAAGUUUCAUUGUCAAAAGGGAAACAGCCCAGACCCACAGCUAAGGUCCCAAAUGUACGUUAAGUGGAGAAGGAUGUGGAAUUGCACAGACAACCAGGAUGUUGGCUUAGAAGCAGCCACACAUUCAAAGAGUGCGUAACAGCUCACUGGUCGAGUGAUUCCGCGCCGAAAAUUUAACGGGGCUAAACGUACAACCGAAGCUUGGGCUGCAUCGAAAGAUGCGGGGUAGGGGAGCGUCGUGUAACGGGGUGAAGCAUGAGCGUAAGCGCGUGUGGACUUUACACGAGUGAGAAUGCCGGAAUGAGUAGCGCGAUUUAUGUGAGAAUCAUAAAGGCCGAAAGCCUAAGGUUUCUGGAGGAAGGUUCGUCCGCUCCAGGUUAGCCGGGAGCUAAGGUGAGGCGGAAACGCGUAGCCGAUGCACAUACGGUGGAGAUUCCGUAGCUGUCGAAGGAUUUAAGCAGGGGGACACUGAAGAAGGCUUCAACCCAGGCGUUGGUAGACCUGGGCGAAAGGGACCGAAAAUAGAGUAGGGAAGUGAAGUUGGAAUCAGGCGAGAAAAGCCCUGUGAAUAUCUGAGACACCCGUACCGCAAACCGACACAGGUAGGUAGGAAGAGGAUUCUAAGGCCAACGGGAGAAGGGUUGUUAAGGAACUCGGCAAGUUGACCCCGUAACUUCGGAAUAAGGGGUGCUCAACGGAAGUUGAGCCGCAGAGAAUAGGUCCAGGCAACUGUUUAGCAAAAACACAGCUCUAUGCUAAAUCGCAAGAUGAUGUAUAUGGGGUGACGCCUGCCCGGUGCUGGAAGGUUAAGAGGAGGAGUGAGAGCUUCGAAUCGAAGCCCCAGUAAACGGCGGCCGUAACUAUAACGGUCCUAAGGUAGCGAAAUUCCUUGUCAGGUAAGUUCUGACCCGCACGAAAGGCGUAAUGAUUUGGGAGCUGUCUCGACAAUGUCCCCGGCGAAAUUGUAGUACUAGUGAAGAUGCUAGUUACCUGCGACAAGACAGAAAGACCCCAUGGAGCUUUACUGUAGCUUGAUAUUGGGUUUCGGUAAUUUAUGUACAGGAUAGGUGGGAGACAGAGAAUUCAGAGCGUCAGCUUUGAAGGAGUCACCCUUGGGAUACCACCCUUAAGUUAUUGAAAUUCUAACCUGUGAUCAUUAACUGGUCAGGGGACAAUGUCAGGUGGGCAGUUUGACUGGGGCGGUCGCCUCCUAAAGAGUAACGGAGGCGCUCAAAGGUUCCCUCAGAGCGGAUGGAAAUCGCUCGGAGAGUGUAAAGGCAGAAGGGAGCUUGAUUGCGAGACCAACAAGUCGAGCAAGUAGGAAACUAGGACUUAGUGAUCCGGCGGUAGAGAGUGGGAUUGCCGUCGCUCAACGGAUAAAAGCUACCCUGGGGAUAACAGGCUUAUCUCCCCCAAGAGU
rnacentral:rRNA from 1 species